rnacentral:rRNA from 1 species
GAUUUCUGGCUUGAAACAUUUUGCCAGCCACGGUUUCGUGUGUUAGUGCUUGAUGUUCUGGUCAUCCUUCCAAUCGCUAUUCACCUUUCUUCAUUGAUUGGUGGGUGGUAUUGGAUCUUUUACUUUGAAAAAAUUAGAGUGUUUCAAGCAGGCUUUAUGCUAUGAAUACAUUAGCAUGGAAUAAUAAUUUAGGACUUCGGUUCUAUUUUGUUGGUUUCUAGGACUGAAGUAAUGAUUGAUAGGGAUAGUUGGGGGUGCUAGUAUUCAGCGGCCAGAGGUGAAAUUCUCGGAUUCGCUGAAGACUAACUUAUGCGAAAGCAUU